AGGAAGCGUAUUGAUCCAGAUUCCAGAAUAAUGGACAAAGAGGGACACUGGUGAAUGCAGGGCGAUAUGCAGGUUGAAAAACACAGUAAUGAAUGAUGCAAUCUGAAAAUUGUUUUCCAGGCCUUACUCAAGCCGACAAGAUAAUGUGGAAGUUUGAAAAAAUUUGUUGAGAAGAGGGUGUGGCUCUUAUCGCAAGGACACUAACAACUAUGAUGCACAAGGUAUGUAGACUUGAGAAUAGCCUGACCGAAUUUCAAAUUGUAGAGGAUAUGGUAUUAUGUUGGGGACAAACCAAUUUAAAUCACAUGUAUGAAAAAUAAAAUGACAUGGCUCUGAAUGGCUGGCAAUUAAUCAAACCACAAUGACGACUUGAUAACUAUACUUUCUGACUUUGAGAAUUUCAUGAUUUAUUUAAUAUGAUGUACAAUCUCGUAAGAACAUGGAAAGAGAUCAGUCUGCUUUUGGUUCUUAUCUUUGGGUGUUAUUUUCCACAAAAUCAGUCUGUAGGUUCUUAUUUUCCUAUGUUCUUGUUUGCGGGGUUUUACUGUAUUCUACGUACACAAAAAAAAGCUGACUGAUUUUAUUGCUUCAGUGCAAAACCAGAUAUUGUAAGGGUUUAGUGGGGGCAAGAGCUGAACCCCCACUAAAAUUUUGAAGAACCGAGCGUAACUUUCUUUUAAAAAAAGUGCAGUGUCGUCUUCGUUCAUGUUUGUGAAAGAUUUUUAUAGACAACUGACAAAAUCACUAACAAAGGUUAUAGUAAACAGUGUCCUGAGACACGAUCCCUGUGGUACAACACGAAGUGGAUGAGGUUUCUGGCGAUAACAUAUUUCAAGCUUCUCCUCCAUUGAAAGUUUAAGACUCAAGGGACGCACUUCGAGUCCCAAAAAAGGGCACCCUCGAGUUUGACCAAAACAUGCCCCCCCCCCCAUCGUUUCUCAGUGACGACGAGUGGCUUAAUGACCUUGCAGUUUAACAGAAUCGACACGUCAUCUCUCCGACCUUAAUGUCAAGAUGCAAGGAAAAGAUCAGCUACGCAUCAAAAUGUUUCAGCAUGUUUUGGCCUUUGAAAGCAAACUGAAGUUAUUUUUAGAACAGCUCAGUAAAAAGGACACAUCCCAUUUUGAACUUUUAACAUCGAGAGUGAACAUUUUCCAAGUGAAUUUUCAAAAAUACACACACUGCAUAAAGACAUUGUCAGCAGAAUUUGAUUCCCGAUUUGAAGAUUUCAGGACAAACCAAGACGGAUUUCGAUUAUUUGCUGAUCCGUUCAGAGUGGACAUUAAUGGUUAUCAAAGUACCUUUCCACUCGAACUUCUUGACAUGCAAAACAAUUUUGAACUAAAAAAUGCUCAUUCAGAAGUCGAUUUGCUCCGCUUUUCUCAGAUGUAUCAGACUAACAUAAAAGAAUUGGCAAGAAGAU